rnacentral:lncRNA from 1 species
AUAAGUGAAACUUUUCUUUGCAUUAAACUUAUGAUGAUUACCAGUACAGUACAAAAAGGUAAAACAUGCCUACUGUACACCUCAAAGUAAAAGUUUGUCCAUAAGACAGCCGUACUUUCCUCAGCAUUAAAUUCAUCAUAACCAGUUUUAGGCUGACAUUGUCCAUCAAACAUAAAUCACACUAAUUUUGGCACACUCAUACUAGCUUUCAAGAAAAAAUUAUAAACUACAUGCAUAUGCAUAAUAGCAUUUGUUGGACACUAAAAUAUAUUGUACUCAUCAAAAAGAAGUAUAUUGUAAUU